UACGUAGGGGGCAAGCGUUGUCCGGAUUUAUUGGGCGUAAAGAGCGUGUAGGCGGCCAGGUAGGUCAGCUGUGAAAACUCGAGCUCAACCUCGAGACGCCGGUUGAAACCAUCUGGCUAGAGUCCGGAAGAGGAGAGUGGAAUUCCUGGUGUAGCGGUGAAAUGCGCAGAUAUCAGGAAGAACACCAGUGGCGAAGGCGGCUCACUGGACUGGUAUUGACGCUGAGGUGCGAAAGCGUGGGGAGCAAACAGG
rnacentral:rRNA from 1 species